CCUGCGGAAGGAUCAUUACAGUUAUUAAUUCUUUGCCAGCGCUUAAUUGCGCGGCGGGAACUAAUCCUUACACACUGUGUUUUUUGUUAUUACAAGAACUAUUGCUUUGGCUUGGCCUUCGGGUUGGGCCAGAGACUUGAAUAAACUUCAAUUUUUUAUUGAAUUGUUUUUUAAAUUAUUGUCAAUUUGUUUGAUUAAAUUCAAAAUAAUCUUCAAAACUUUCAACAACGGAUCUCUUGGUUCUCGCAUCGAUGAAGAACGCAGCGAAAUGCGAUAAGUAAUAUGAAUUGCAGAUUUUCGUGAAUCAUCGAAUCUUUGAACGCACAUUGCGCCCUUUGGUAUUCCAAGGGGCAUGCCUGUUUGAGCGUCAUUUCUCUCUCAAACCUUUGGGUUUGGUAUUGAGUGAUACUCUUAGUCAGACUAGGCGUUUGCUUGAAAUGUAUCGGCAUGAGUGCGCUAGAUAGUGCUUUCUGAUUAUUCAAUGUAUUAGGUUUAUCCAACUCGUUGAAGGAUCAGGUGUAAAUUUCUGGUGGCAAUUGCUCGGCCUUACAACGACAAACAAGUUGACC
rnacentral:rRNA from 1 species